CAGCAGCCGCGGUAAUACAGAGGUCUCAAGCGUUGUUCGGACUCAUUGGGCGUAAAGGGUGCGUAGGUGGCGGUGUAAGUCUAACGUGAAAUCUCGGGGCUCAACCUCGAAAUUGCGUCGGAUACUGCAUUGCUAGAGGAUUGUAGAGGAGAGUGGAAUUCAUGGUGUAGCAGUGAAAUGCGUAGAUAUCAUGAGGAAGACCAGUUGCGAAGGCGACUCUCUGGGCAAUUCCUGACACUGAGGCACGAAGGCUAGGAGAGCAAACGGGAUUAGAUACCCGUGUAGUCCCUGUCUCUUAUAC
rnacentral:rRNA from 1 species